rnacentral:misc_RNA from 1 species
GAUGAAGAACGCAGCGAAAUGCGAUACGUAGUGUGAAUUGCAGAAUUCAGUGAAUCAUCGAAUCUUUGAACGCACAUUGCGCCCGCCAGUAUUCUGGCGAGCAUGCCUGUUCGAGCGUCAUUUCAACCAUCAAGCCCCAGGCUUGUGUUGGAGCCCUGCGGCUGCCGCAGCCUCCCAAAACCAGUGGCGGGCUCGCUAUCACACCGAGUGCAGUAGUUUACUCUUCGCUCAGGGCGUGUGGCGGGUGCUAGCCGUGAAACCCCCAACUUCUCAAGGUUGACCUCGGAUCAGGUAGGAAUACCCGCUGAACUUAAGCAUAUCAAUAAGCGGAGGA